UACAGAGGUCCCAAGCGUUGUUCGGAUUCACUGGGCGUAAAGGGUGCGUAGGUGGUGAGGUAAGUCGGAUGUGAAAUCUCCAAGCUCAACUUGGAAACUGCAUUGGAAACUACCUUGCUAGAGGAUUUGAGGGGGGAUUGGAAUUCCUGGUGUAGCGGUGAAAUGCGCAGAUAUCAGGAGGAACACCGAUGGCGAAGGCAGGUCUCUGGGCAUUAACUGACGCUGAGGAGCGAAAGCAUGGGGAGCGAACAGG
rnacentral:rRNA from 1 species